GGUUUUUGAGGUUUUGAAAGAUUAGGGUUUUGAAGAAGAAGAAACGUUUCAGAGAAGUUUGGAGAUGAACUCAGGUUAAAGAUGAAGAUUUUUUGUAAAGAAAGGAAAAAGGAAGUGAUAAUGGGCUUUUAUAGUAUUAACCUACGAGUUGGUUGGUUACACCUUGCAAAGGUAGUGGGCCACGUGGUGGCUUUUCUAUGAAGAAGGUGCAGG
rnacentral:lncRNA from 1 species